UAGAUACCCUGGUAGUCCAUGCCGUAAACGGUGGGCGCUAGGUGUGGGGGUUUUAUUUACGAUUCCCGUGCCGUAGCUAACGCAUUAAGCGCCCCGCCUGGGGAGUACGGCCGCAAGGCUAAAACUCAAAGGAAUUGACGGGGGCCCGCACAAGCGGCGGAGCAUGUGGAUUAAUUCGAUGCAACGCGAAGAACCUUACCUGGGCUUGACAUACACCGGAUCGCUGCAGAGAUGUAGUUUCCCUUGUGGC
rnacentral:rRNA from 1 species